UUAAGCGACUAAGCGUACACGGUGGAUGCCCUGGCAGUCAGAGGCGAUGAAGGACGUGCUAAUCUGCGAUAAGCGUCGGUAAGGUGAUAUGAACCGUUAUAACCGGCGAUUUCCGAAUGGGGAAACCCAGUGUGUUUCGACACACUAUCAUUAACUGAAUCCAUAGGUUAAUGAGGCGAACCGGGGGAACUGAAACAUCUAAGUACCCCGAGGAAAAGAAAUCAACCGAGAUUCCCCCAGUAGCGGCGAGCGAACGGGGAGCAGCCCAGAGCCUGAAUCAGUGUGUGUGUUAGUGGAAGCGUCUGGAAAGGCGCGCGAUACAGGGUGACAGCCCCGUACACAAAAAUGCACAUANNNNNNNNNNUGUGAGCUCGAUGAGUAGGGCGGGACACGUGGUAUCCUGUCUGAAUAUGGGGGGACCAUCCUCCAAGGCUAAAUACUCCUGACUGACCGAUAGUGAACCAGUACCGUGAGGGAAAGGCGAAAAGAACCCCGGCGAGGGGAGUGAAAAAGAACCUGAAACCGUGUACGUACAAGCAGUGGGAGCACGCUUAGGCGUGUGACUGCGUACCUUUUGUAUAAUGGGUCAGCGACUUAUAUUCUGUAGCAAGGUUAACCGAAUAGGGGAGCCGAAGGGAAACCGAGUCUUAACUGGGCGUUAAGUUGCAGGGUAUAGACCCGAAACCCGGUGAUCUAGCCAUGGGCAGGUUGAAGGUUGGGUAACACUAACUGGAGGACCGAACCGACUAAUGUUGAAAAAUUAGCGGAUGACUUGUGGCUGGGGGUGAAAGGCCAAUCAAACCGGGAGAUAGCUGGUUCUCCCCGAAAGCUAUUUAGGUAGCGCCUCGUGAAUUCAUCUCCGGGGGUAGAGCACUGUUUCGGCAAGGGGGUCAUCCCGACUUACCAACCCGAUGCAAACUGCGAAUACCGGAGAAUGUUAUCACGGGAGACACACGGCGGGUGCUAACGUCCGUCGUGAAGAGGGAAACAACCCAGACCGCCAGCUAAGGUCCCAAAGUCAUGGUUAAGUGGGAAACGAUGUGGGAAGGCCCAGACAGCCAGGAUGUUGGCUUAGAAGCAGCCAUCAUUUAAAGAAAGCGUAAUAGCUCACUGGUCGAGUCGGCCUGCGCGGAAGAUGUAACGGGGCUAAACCAUGCACCGAAGCUGCGGCAGCGACGCUGAUGCGUUGUUGGGUAGGGGAGCGUUCUGUAAGCCUGUGAAGGUGUGCUGUGAGGCAUGCUGGAGGUAUCAGAAGUGCGAAUGCUGACAUAAGUAACGAUAAAGCGGGUGAAAAGCCCGCUCGCCGGAAGACCAAGGGUUCCUGUCCAACGUUAAUCGGGGCAGGGUGAGUCGACCCCUAAGGCGAGGCCGAAAGGCGUAGUCGAUGGGAAACAGGUUAAUAUUCCUGUACUUGGUGUUACUGCGAAGGGGGGACGGAGAAGGCUAUGUUGGCCGGGCGACGGUUGUCCCGGUUUAAGCGUGUAGGCUGGUUUUCCAGGCAAAUCCGGAAAAUCAAGGCUGAGGCGUGAUGACGAGGCACUACGGUGCUGAAGCAACAAAUGCCCUGCUUCCAGGAAAAGCCUCUAAGCAUCAGGUAACAUCAAAUCGUACCCCAAACCGACACAGGUGGUCAGGUAGAGAAUACCAAGGCGCUUGAGAGAACUCGGGUGAAGGAACUAGGCAAAAUGGUGCCGUAACUUCGGGAGAAGGCACGCUGAUAUGUAGGUGAAGCGACUUGCUCGUGGAGCUGAAAUCAGUCGAAGAUACCAGCUGGNNNNNNNNNNNNNNNNNNNNNNNNNNUGCAACUGUUUAUUAAAAACACAGCACUGUGCAAACACGAAAGUGGACGUAUACGGUGUGACGCCUGCCCGGUGCCGGAAGGUUAAUUGAUGGGGUCAGCGCAAGCGAAGCUCUUGAUCGAAGCCCCGGUAAACGGCGGCCGUAACUAUAACGGUCCUAAGGUAGCGAAAUUCCUUGUCGGGUAAGUUCCGACCUGCACGAAUGGCGUAAUGAUGGCCAGGCUGUCUCCACCCGAGACUCAGUGAAAUUGAACUCGCUGUGAAGAUGCAGUGUACCCGCGGCAAGACGGAAAGACCCCGUGAACCUUUACUAUAGCUUGACACUGAACAUUGAGCCUUGAUGUGUAGGAUAGGUGGGAGGCUUAGAAGUGUGGACGCCAGUCUGCAUGGAGCCGACCUUGAAAUACCACCCUUUAAUGUUUGAUGUUCUAACGUUGACCCGUAAUCCGGGUUGCGGACAGUGUCUGGUGGGUAGUUUGACUGGGGCGGUCUCCUCCUAAAGAGUAACGGAGGAGCACGAAGGUUGGCUAAUCCUGGUCGGACAUCAGGAGGUUAGUGCAAUGGCAUAAGCCAGCUUGACUGCGAGCGUGACGGCGCGAGCAGGUGCGAAAGCAGGUCAUAGUGAUCCGGUGGUUCUGAAUGGAAGGGCCAUCGCUCAACGGAUAAAAGGUACUCCGGGGAUAACAGGCUGAUACCGCCCAAGAGUUCAUAUCGACGGCGGUGUUUGGCACCUCGAUGUCGGCUCAUCACAUCCUGGGGCUGAAGUAGGUCCCAAGGGUAUGGCUGUUCGCCAUUUAAAGUGGUACGCGAGCUGGGUUUAGAACGUCGUGAGACAGUUCGGUCCCUAUCUGCCGUGGGCGCUGGAGAACUGAGGGGGGCUGCUCCUAGUACGAGAGGACCGGAGUGGACGCAUCACUGGUGUUCGGGUUGUCAUGCCAAUGGCACUGCCCGGUAGCUAAAUGCGGAAGAGAUAAGUGCUGAAAGCAUCUAAGCACGAAACUUGCCCCGAGAUGAGUUCUCCCUGACCCUUUAAGGGUCCUGAAGGAACGUUGAAGACGACGACGUUGAUAGGCCGGGUGUGUAAGCGCAGCGAUGCGUUGAGCUAACCGGUACUAAUGAACCGUGAGGCUUAACCUU
rnacentral:rRNA from 1 species